rnacentral:rRNA from 1 species
UACGUAGGGAGCGAGCGUUGUCCGGAUUUACUGGGUGUAAAGGGUGCGUAGGCGGCCCUGCAAGUCGGGUGUGAAAACCGUCGGCUCAACUGACGGAUUGCACUCGAAACUGCGGGGCUUGAGUGGAGCAGAGGCAGGCGGAAUUCCCGGUGUAGCGGUGAAAUGCGUAGAGAUCGGGAGGAACACCAGUGGCGAAGGCGGCCUGCUGGGCUUUAACUGACGCUGAGGCACGAAAGCAUGGGUAGCAAACAGGAUUAGAUACC